UUCACUGGAAAGGAAAGUAGCAGAAUAAAAGCAAAACAAAACAUCCCACUACUCUAGUAAAACCACUCGAAACAACCAAUUUCUUAUCUUUCUCAAAAUAGCUGCAAUUUAGGGAAAUAUUAAUCUGUCUCUAAAUUGAAAAUUGUCCAACCAUCCAGGUUACUCAGAAAAAAAAAAGCUGUUUAAAAAUUUUAAUAAAUUUUAAUGGCAAUUAAGCCAUUUCUAUCUUGUCUCUGGCAAGGUGUAAAGAAUUGUUGUAUGAAGCAGCCAUUAUUAGGGUUUCUUUAAAGUUUUAGCCAGGGCAGAGUGAAGAUCAAAACAAUUGGCAGUGAAGGAAAAGAUGGCUCAGGGCAUGUGGCAAUAUGACAUUAAAGAUUACAUCAGAUACAGUCUGUCUUCGGAAUGACCAUAUGUCCUUUCCAUCUGAUGUCUGUUUCAGGACUCAAAGAAAUGAAUUAAAGGUUUUGGAUAUGCUUUAAAAGAGUGUUCCUUCAUCACCUGUAUUAGGUUUGUUUACAAAUCAGAUAUGUUUCAAAUGGAUCAAAUGUGCAUAAUAACAAAAUUGUAUUUUUCCUAAAAAUUUGGACGUUGAUUCCUUUUAGGUUCUGUGGGUUUGUAACAUUGAGUCCUAGGAUGAAGUAUAGAUAUUUUGUGUUCUUUUCACUUAGAGAAAGAAGAGAAUUUUUUUCCCUGGUUUUAAGCUAAAUACAGGAAUGAAAUGGAAAGAAAUAAUAGAAGAAAGACUUUUGUAGGGAUGACUUUUAAAGAAAAGGCAAGAAUUCCCUUGUAAUUAAGGAUCUGGUGUUGUUACUGUAGCAGCCUGAGUCGCUUCUUCUGUGGUACAGGUUUUAUCCCUGUCCUAGGAACUUCCAUGUGCCACAGGGAAGGCCAAAAAAAAAAAAAAAAACCAAAAACCAAAAACAGGCAAAGGAGACCAUGGCCGUUGCAACUUGAAUCGAGAUAAGCAGAAGUAUGUGUGUGCUCCACGUCACAUGGCAGGAGGCUUCCCCCAGAGCAGUCUGCCUGUCCAGGGAGCUGUUUCAUUUUGUGUCUGAUAGAGUUUUACUUUGGAAAAUCCCCAGUUCCCUGCCUAUUGCUUCAUUAUGGAUUAUACAGAUUACCCUGGGAAUCUGUACUCCUUUGGUAUGUAUUUAAAAAUAUCUUUAUGUAAACUCAGAAGUUAUUAGGUUAUGGAAGAAUGCAAUAUACUAUUUAUCUUUUUCCCUUUUGUAUAAAAGAAUACUUUUAACUUUAUUGUUUAAAAUUUAUGGUUUUUUUUUUUUUUUUUUUGUAUGAAAGAAAGGUGGCUGUAGUGUAACCCUCCUCUCUGUACAGGUCCCAGCAGGUGUUUGGUGCCCUUGGUUAGGUUGUGAUCUUGAUAUGUCUGGCUUGAGCUCAAUUUGGUGCAAUUGGCCCACCUCUUUAUAGUCCCAGAUUGCACUGCCUAUCCUGGCCAGUCAUCUUGCAAAACUUGGACAGCAGUCUCAAGGGAAAUAAUCUGCUAUGGGAGCUAGAAGAGCUCAAGAAGUCUCAUUAGUAACAUGCUUGCACAUGAAGGUAGUUCAUUUUAAGAAAUUCAGACACUGUCAGUUGGUAAGAAUGCAUUUACUCUAUGUACAGUAAAUCCCUUCUCUGAGCAGCACACUUAAACAAGUUGCUUUACAAGUCUUUAGAAAGUGAUCAUAGCUAAAUUUUAUUUUAAAGAUUGGAGUCUAAAUAUGCUGAUCCAGUUCAUUUCUUUACCAAUGGAUCUGGAUGUACCUGUUUGUCACUAUGGAGUGUUGACAGAUACGUUUCUUUUGGAAAGCCAUGACUGGUGGGUAGUCAUUUAGACUUCCAUAUUUGCAUUAAUAUAACCUAUGCAAUAAUAUCAUUGCCAGAAGGUCUACAAUUAGCUCAGAAUUGAACUAGUGUCUUGAACAAUAUUUUUCUUAUUU
rnacentral:lncRNA from 1 species